GCCUGAGAAAACUCAGCUGUGGAGGAAAAGAAGCAAAGAAAAACAAAAACUUAUUAAAGUGUGAAGAAGUAAAGGAAACCAUUCAGGAUGUGAAGAUGCAGAAGCAACUGGUGAGAUACCCAAGAAGAUGCGUUUGACAAAAGAGUAAAGAAUUGGAUGGCUGGAUUGGGAAGCAGUCGCCUGGUUGCACGAAACUUUAACAGAAAACAUGGAACAAGAAUCACACACGACACUGUGGCAAAACUUAUUUGCAAGUUUCAGAAAACUGGAAAUGUUGCAGAUCAACCAUGAAGUGGUUCAAGACGUGCAACGAUUACAGAGUCCCACAAAAUAAAAACGUUUGUCCAAUCUAAAA